GACGAACGCUGGCGGCGUGCUUAACACAUGCAAGUCGAACGGUGAAGCGCCUUCCUUUUUGGUGGGUGUGGAUGAGUGGCGAACGGGUGAGUAACACGUGAGUAACCUGCCCCCUUCUUCUGGAUAACCGCAUGAAAGUGUGGCUAAUACGGGAUAUUCUGGGUCUGUCGCAUGAUGGGUCUGGGAAAGAUAUUGUUUCGGUGGGGGAUGGGCUCGCGGCCUAUCAGCUUGUUGGUGGGGUGGUGGCCUACCAAGGCGGGGACGGGUAGCCGGCCUGAGAGGGUGGACGGUCACGCUGGGACUGAGCCACGGCCCAGACUCCUACGGGAGGCAGCAGUGGGGAAUAUUGCACAAUGGGCGCAAGCCUGAUGCAGCGACGCCGCGUGAGGGAUGGAGGCCUUCGGGUUGUGAACCUCUUUCGCCAGUGAAGCAGGCCUGCCUCGUUUGUGGGUGGGUUGACGGUAGCUGGAUAAGAAGCGCCGGCUAACUACGUG
rnacentral:rRNA from 1 species